rnacentral:rRNA from 1 species
GAUGAACGCUGGCGGCGUGCCUAAUACAUGCAAGUCGAGCGAACAGAUGAGGAGCUUGCUCCUCUGACGUUAGCGGCGGACGGGUGAGUAACACGUGGAUAACCUACCUAUAAGACUGGGAUAACUUCGGGAAACCGGAGCUAAUACCGGAUAAUAUAUUGAACCGCAUGGUUCAAUAGUGAAAGACGGUUUUGCUGUCACUUAUAGAUGGAUCCGCGCCGCAUUAGCUAGUUGGUAAGGUAACGGCUUACCAAGGCAACGAUGCGUAGCCGACCUGAGAGGGUGAUCGGCCACACGGGAAGUGAGACACGGUCCAGACUCCUACGGGACGCAGCAGUAGGGAAUCUGCCGCAAUGGGCGAAAGCAUGACGGAGCAACGCCGCGUGAGUGAUGAAGGUCUUCGGAUCGUAAAACUCUGUUAUUAGGGAAGAACAAAUGUGUAAGUAACUAUGCACGUCUUGACGGUACCUAAUCAGAAAGCCACGGCUAACUACGUG